UUUGACGUUAGCGACAGAAGAAGCACCGGCUAACUCCGUGCCAGCAGCCGCGGUAAUACGGAGGGUGCGAGCGUUAAUCGGAAUUACUGGGCGUAAAGCGCAUGCAGGUGGUUUGUUAAGUCAGAUGUGAAAGCCCGGGGCUCAACCUCGGAAUAGCAUUUGAAACUGGCAGACUAGAGUACUGUAGAGGGGGGUAGAAUUUCAGGUGUAGCGGUGAAAUGCGUAGAGAUCUGAAGGAAUACCGGUGGCGAAGGCGGCCCCCUGGACAGAUACUGACACUCAGAUGCGAAAGCGUGGGGAGCAAACAGGAUUAGAUACCCUGGUAGUCCACGCCGUAAACGAUGUCUACUUGGAGGUUGUGGCCUUGAGCCGUGGCUUUCGGAGCUAACGCGUUAAGUAGACCGCCUGGGGAGUACGGUCGCAAGAUUAAAACUCAAAUGAAUUGACGGGGGCCCGCACAAGCGGUGGAGCAUGUGGUUUAAUUCGAUGCAACGCGAAGAACCUUACCUACUCUUGACAUCCAGAGAACUUUCCAGAGAUGGAUUGGUGCCUUCGGGAACUCUGAGACAGGUGCUGCAUGGCUGUCGUCAGCUCGUGUUGUGAAAUGUUGGGUUAAGUCCCGCAACGAGCGCAACCCUUAUCCUUGUUUGCCAGC
rnacentral:rRNA from 2 species